UACGUAGGGUGCAAGCGUUAAUCGGAAUUACUGGGCGUAAAGCGUGCGCAGGCGGUUGUGCAAGACCGAUGUGAAAUCCCCGGGCUCAACCUGGGAAUGGCAUUGGUGACUGCACGGCUAGAGUGUGUCAGAGGGGGGUAGAAUUCCACGUGUAGCAGUGAAAUGCGUAGAGAUGUGGAGGAAUACCGAUGGCGAAGGCAGCCCCCUGGGAUAACACUGACGCCUCAUGCACGAAAGCGUGGGGAGCAAACAGG
rnacentral:rRNA from 1 species